AGAUUUACAGAUGGGGAAGCUGGCUCGAAGCUGUGAACGUAACCGCCAAACCAUCACUGAGUCCAGGUGGAUGGGAACACAGGAAGGAAAAGAUUGCUUGGCCGUGAAUGUGGGCAACCUCAGAGCCUCCAAACUGUAGGAAGGAUUCCCUAAGGCAUGAGGAGGAAGGUCUUCCAAGAGGCCCAGAGCCACUGGAUGCCCCGUGGAGGCCCACAGCAGCAGAAUGCUCUUCGCCGAUUGUACAAAACACAUUAAUUCCAGCCACUUGUCUCCGUGGACCAAGGCCCAAGUGACAGGAAAUUCACAACGGACACUUGCAAAAUAAAGGUUCCGAGAAGUCCUGCAGAGAAACCUGCUUAGUUUAUCCAACCUGGCCUUUCUCACACUUAACUGAUCAUGAAUGCUUCCCUUCCUCCGGGACACCCAUCGACACUUCAUGGGACACCGUUUGAGAAGUUCUGGCAUACAAGAGGG